AACGAACGCUGGCGGCGUGGAUAAGACAUGCAAGUCGAGCGCGAUACACCUUGUAGCAAUACAGGGUGAGUUGAGCGGCGCAAGGGUGCGUAACACGUGGGCAAUCUGCCGUGAAGUUGGGGAUAACUCGCUGAAAGGCGAGCUAAUACCGAAUGUGGAAAUCGGAUGGCAUCAUCUGAUUUCUGAAGUUGGGGACCGUAAGGCCUGACGCUUCACGAUGAGCCCGCGGCCUAUCAGCUAGUUGGUGAGGUAACGGCUCACCAAGGCUAAGACGGGUAGCUGGUCUGAGAGGACGACCAGCCACACUGGAACUGAGACACGGUCCAGACACCUACGGGUGGCAGCAGCCGAGAAUUUUUCACAAUGGGGGAAACCCUGAUGGAGCGACGCCGCGUGGGGGAUGAAGGGCUUCGGCUCGUAAACCCCCUGUCAGCCGCGAACAAUGCUUACGACCUAAUACGUCGUGAGUUGAUUGUAGUGG
rnacentral:rRNA from 1 species